CAAGUGGUGCGACGAACCAGGGCUUGCCCUGGGGCCAAGCCGCGAACGGGUGAGUAACACGUGAGUAAUCUGCCCCGAUGACCGGGACAACCCGAGGAAACUCGGGCUAAUACCGGAUGUGGUGCACGGGUAUAAGCCUGUGUACUAAAGGAAGCUUCGGCCUCCGCAUUGGGAGGAGCUCGCGGCCCAUUAGCUUGUUGGUGGGGUAACGGCCUACCAAGGCAACGAUGGGUAGCUGGUCUGAGAGGACGAUCAGCCACACUGGGACUGAGACACGGCCCAGACUCCUACGGGAGGCAGCAGUGGGGAAUCUUGCGCAAUGCGCGAAAGCGUGACGCAGCAACGCCGCGUGGGGGAAGACGGCCUUCGGGUUGUAAACCCCUUUCAGGAGGGACGAAGGUUCACCGGUGAAUAGCCGUGUGGAUUGACGGUACCUCCACAAGAAGCUCCGGCUAACUACGUGCCAGCAGCCGCGGUAAUACGUAGGGAGCAAGCGUUGUCCGGAAUCAUUGGGCGUAAAGCGCGCGUAGGUGGCUUCAUAAGUCCGUUGUGAAAGUCAAAGGCUCAACCUUUGAAAGCCGAUGGAUACUGUGAAGCUAGAGUACGGAAGAGGCGAGUGGAAUUCCUGGUGUAGCGGUGGAAUGCGCAGAUAUCAGGAGGAACACCAAUAGCGAAGGCAGCUCGCUGGGACGUUACUGACACUGAGGCGCGAAAGCGUGGGGAGCGAACAGGAUUAGAUACCCUGGUAGUCCACGCCGUAAACGAUGGGCACUAGGUGUGGGAGGUGUCGACUCCUCCC
rnacentral:rRNA from 1 species